rfam:Candidatus Nanosalinarum sp. J07AB56 genomic scaffold scf_7180000039072, whole genome shotgun sequence.
GGGCCGAUAGUUCAGUCUGGCAGAGCACCUCCCUGGCACGGAGGAGGCCCUGGGUUCAAAUCCCAGUCGGUCCA